rnacentral:rRNA from 1 species
CCUACGGGAGGCAGCAGUGGGGAAUAUUGCACAAUGGGGGAAACCCUGAUGCAGCCAUGCCGCGUGUGUGAAGAAGGCCUUCGGGUUGUAAAGCACUUUCAGUUGUGAGGAAAGUUUAGUAGUUAAUACCUGCUAGAUGUGACGUUAGCAACAGAAGAAGCACCGGCUAACUCCGUGCCAGCAGCCGCGGUAAUACGGAGGGUGCGAGCGUUAAUCGGAAUUACUGGGCGUAAAGCGCACGCAGGCGGUCUGUUAAGCUAGAUGUGAAAGCCCCGCGCUCAACGUGGGAGGGUCAUUUAGAACUGGCAGACUAGAGUCUUGGAGAGGGGAGCGGAAUUCCAGGUGUAGCGGUGAAAUGCGUAGAGAUCUGGAGGAACAUCAAUGGCGAAGGCAACUCCCUGGCCAAAGACUGACGCUCAUGUGCGAAAGUGUGGGUGGCGAACAGGAUUAGAUACCCUGGUAGUCCACACCGUAAACGCUGUCUACUAGCUGUUUGUGAAUUUAAUUCGUGAGUAGCGAAGCUAACGCGAUAAGUAGACCGCCUGGGGAGUACGGCCGCAAGGUUAAAACUUAAAGGAAUUGACGGA